rnacentral:rRNA from 1 species
GACGUACGCUGGCGGCGUGCUUAACACAUGCAAGUCGAACGAUGAAGCCCAGCUUGCUGGGUGGAUUAGUGGCGAACGGGUGAGUAACACGUGGGCAACCUGCCCCAAACUCUGGGAUAACUCCUCGAAAGAGGUGCUAAUACCGGAUACGAACUAGACAGACAUCUGUACUAGUUGCAAAGUUUCGCGGUUUGGGAUGGGCCGCGGGCCUACCAGCUUGUUGGUGAGGUAACGGCUCACCAAGGCUAAGACGGGUAACCGGCCUGAGAGGGGGACCGGUCACAAUGGGACUGAGAGACGGCCCAGACUCCUACGGGAGGCAGCAGUGGGGAAUAUUGCGCAAUGGGCGAAAGCCUGACGCAGCGACGCCGCGUGAGGGAUGAAGGUCUUCGGAUCGUAAACCUCUUUCAGUAGGGACGAAGCGAAAGUGACGGUACCUAAAGAAGAAGCACCGGCUAACUACGUGCCAGCCGCCGCCGUAA